rnacentral:lncRNA from 1 species
GUAGGAGGAGACCAUCCCGUGCUGCAGCAAUCGGUCACUGAGUGUCUCAGCAGAGAAGAGGGGAUGGAUCUCCUGUGGAGAGCUGAGAACUCCAAGAUGCUUUUAGAUGAUUGGAAAAGAGCAACGCUCCCUUCCGCCUGCAGCAACAGCCCAAGGGCUUGGGAAGAACAAUCCCUUUACACAGCCUGGAACACCUGUAAGAGACACAAACAGCAAUUACCUUUUCUGCAGGAAAAGCCCAUCCUACCCAUCCAAACCAUCCUGUCCCUUGCUGAUAAAUCCUACACUCUCACAGUUUAGCUACUGCUGCUGUUUCCAUUAAAGAUUAUCGGUGUUUCCAUCCCAAAUAAACACAGGAUGGAGACAGACCA